GAUGAACGCUGGCGGCGUGCCUAAUACAUGCAAGUCGAGCGGACAGACGAGGAUCUUGCUCCUCUGACGUUAGCGGCGCACGGGAGAGUCACACGUGGAUACCCUACCUAUCAGACUGGGAUCACUUCGAGACACCGGAGCUAAUCCCGGAGAAUCUCUUGAACCGCAUGGUUCAUUAGUGAAAGACGGUUUUGCUGUCACUUAUCGAUGGAUACGGGCCGCAUUGGCUGGUUGGUACGGUAACGGCUUACCAAGGCUAGGAUGCGUGGCCGAGCUGACAGGGGGGUCGGCCACACGGGAACGGAGACGCGGUCCAGACUCCUACGGGAGGCAGCAGUAGGGAAUCGGCCGCAGAGGGCGAGAGCAUGACGGAGCAACGCGGCGUGAGUGAUGAAGGUCUUCGGAGCGUGAAACUCGGUUAUUAGGGAAGAACAAAUGUGUAAGUAAAUAUGCACGUCUUGACGGUACCUAGUCAGAAAGCCCCGGCUAACUACGUG
rnacentral:rRNA from 1 species